UAUAAGAUGCCUGAUUAAAGGAUAAUUUUGAUAGGAUUAAUAAUGCGGCCCCCCCUGCUCUUAUAA
rnacentral:tRNA from 1 species